ACAUGGCUCAGGACGAACGCUGGCGGCGUGCCUAAUACAUGCAAGUCGAGCGGACAGAUGGGAGCUUGCUCCCUGAUGUUAGCGGCGGACGGGUGAGUAACACGUGGGUAACCUGCCUGUAAGACUGGGAUAACUCCGGGAAACCGGGGCUAAUACCGGAUGCUUGUUUGAACCGCAUGGUUCAAAUAUAAAAGGUGGCUUUUAGCUACCACUUACAGAUGGACCCGCGGCGCAUUAGCUAGUUGGUGAGGUAACGGCUCACCAAGGCAACGAUGCGUAGCCGACCUGAGAGGGUGAUCGGCCACACUGGGACUGAGACACGGCCCAGACUCCUACGGGAGGCAGCAGUAGGGAAUCUUCCGCAAUGGACGAAAGUCUGACGGAGCAACGCCGCGUGAGUGAUGAAGGUUUUCGGAUCGUAAAACUCUGUUGUUAGGGAAGAACAAGUACCGUUCGAAUAGGGCGGUACCUUGACGGUACCUGACCAGAAAGCCACGGCUAACUACGUGCCAGCAGCCGCGGUAAUACGUAGGUGGCAAGCGUUGUCCGGAAUUAUUGGGCGUAAAGCGCGCGCAGGCGGUUUCUUAAGUCUGAUGUGAAAGCCCCCGGCUCAACCGGGGAGGGUCAUUGGAAACUGGGGAACUUGAGUGCAGAAGAGGAGAGUGGAAUUCCACGUGUAGCGGUGAAAUGCGUAGAGAUGUGGAGGAACACCAGUGGCGAAGGCGACUCUCUGGUCUGUAACUGACGCUGA
rnacentral:rRNA from 1 species